UACUGUUAUCGGUUUAAUCUU
rnacentral:snRNA from 1 species